GACGAACGCUGGCGGCGUGCUUAACACAUGCAAGUCGAGCGGUAAGGCCCUUUCGGGGGUACACGAGCGGCGAACGGGGAGUAACACGUGGGUGACCUGCCCUCAGCUCUGGGAUAAGCCUGGGAAACCGGGUCUAAUACCGGAUAUGACUCCAUGACGCAUGUUGUGGGGUGGAAAGCCUUGUGCGGCUGAGGAUGGGCCCGCGGCCUAUCAGCUUGUUGGUGGGGUGAUGGCCACCAAGGCGACGACGGGUAGCCGGCCUGAGAGGGCGACCGGCCACACUGGGACUGAGACACGGCCCAGACUCCUACGGGAGGCAGCAGUGGGGAAUCUUGCGCAAUGGGCGAAAGCCUGACGCAGCGACGCCGCGUGAGGUAUGACGGCCUGG
rnacentral:rRNA from 1 species